AGUGAGGGCAUACACAAAGGAUGUCCACGGAAAUCCUAUCACACUUACAGAAGCAUGGUCUUCUGAGCUUGACAAGCACCUUGCAAGGAAGACGAACCUUCCUAAGAAGGCAGGCGAUGUCAAGGCUCUUGAGAAAGCAGAGAACGCAGCAAAGUACUCCCUUCUGGUAUACACACAGCCGCACAAGGCAGGCAUCCACAAGAAGAAGCCUGAGCUGUUCGAGGUCGACAUAGGCGGUUCUAUCGAAGAGCAGCUGAAUUUUGCCAAGGAGAACCUCGGCAAGGAAAUCUCUUUCUCCGACGUCUUCUCUGAAGGCGCUUUCAUUGAUAUUAUCG
rnacentral:misc_RNA from 1 species